GGAGCUGUAGCUCAAUUGGUAGAGUGAUGGAUUCCAAUGUAUGAUCUAUGAUCGGUCGUUGCCAUCCAUCGGUCGCAGGUUCGAUUCCUGUCAGCUUCA